UACGUAGGGGGCAAGCGUUGUCCGGAUUUAUUGGGCGUAAAGAGCGUGUAGGCGGCCAGGUAGGUCUGCUGUGAAAACUCGAGGCUUAACCUCGAGCUGUCGGCGGAAACCAUUUGGCUAGAGUCCGGAAGGGGAGAAUGGAAUUCCCGGUGUAGCGGUGAAAUGCGCAGAUAUCGGGAAGAACACCCGUGGCGAAGGCGGUUCUCUGGGACGGUACUGACGCUGAGACGCGAAAGCGUGGGGAGCGAACAGG
rnacentral:rRNA from 1 species